GGGGGGUGGGGUCUGCAUUUCAAGCCUGUUCUCCCAGCAGUCAGGGACCUGCACAGCUGCUGUGGGUGGGGCAGGUGCUCAGGUAAUUACCAACAGCUGCUUGGUAAUUACUGACAGCCAGGUGAGAAAUUGGCUUGUGCCUGGUUGAGGGCUUGAGGACUGUGGUGAGAGGAGGAAUAGGGAGUGGAGUGGAAAAUACCAUUUACACAAGCAGCAGUUCCACAUGCUAUUGGUGGCAUGUAACAACUAGAUUCCACACCUAGGAACUGCUUGUGGUGCAGUCUGAAGUGUGCUAGCUGUGAGAGCUGCUUCUGGAGAAAGAGAAAUGAGUUGUUGAAGUCCUUGAAAUGUUCCGUUUUCCUCCUUAUGCAAGAUAGUGAGGAAUGCCUUCUUUUCAUCCCUUAGUAUUUUGCAUACAGGAUUCCCCUGGGAUGGAAGAACUUGAAGCAUUUCAAGUCUGCAGCUUCAGGAAUGAAAUAAACUUUUGACUCAAGCUGUCAACCUGAAUAAACUCUUAAAUACCCCACAGCAAUUGCAAGUUCUAGCUAGUAACAAUGGAAUAAAAAUACAAUUGCCCUUUUUGCUCUUAGCAUUUUCUCCCUGGUCCUAUAAAAUUUGGGUUUGUGCCUUCUUCCUUAGUUUGCUUUCCAAACCAUUGCAUGUCCUCAAUAAAUCUGGAGAACUGUC